AACGAAGCGCCGACUUCGGUUGGUUGCUUAGUGGCGGACGGGUGAGUAACACGUGGGUGACCUGCCUGGAAGUGGGGGAUAACCCCCCGAAAGGGGAGCUAAUACCGCAUGUGGUCGGUGGAUCAAUCCACCGAGUAAAGCCGCAAGGCGCUUCCGGAGGGGCCCGCGGCCGAUUAGCUUGUUGGUGGGGUAACGGCCUACCAAGGCGACGAUCGGUAGCUGGUCUGAGAGGACGACCAGCCACAUGGGGACUGAGACACGGCCCCAACUCCUACGGGAGGCAGCAGUUGGGAAUCUUGCGCAAUGGGCGAAAGCCUGACGCAGCGACGCCGCGUGGGGGACGAAGGCUCUUGGGUCGUAAACCCCUUUUGCCGGGGAAGAAGAUCUGACGGUACCCGGCGAAUAAGCCACGGCUAACUACGUGCCAGCAGCCGCGGUAAUACGUAGGUGGCAAGCGUUGUCCGGAUUUACUGGGCGUAAAGCGCGUGUAGGCGGCCUGUUAAGUCUGUCGUGAAAUCUCCCGGCUCAACCGGGAGGGGUCGACGGAUACUGGCAGGCUUGAGGGAAGCAGAGGAAGGUGGAAUUCCCGGUGUAGUGGUGAAAUGCGUAGAUAUCGGGAGGAACACCAGUGGCGAAGGCGGCCUUCUGGGCUUUUCCUGACGCUGAGACGCGAAAGCGUGGGGAGCGAACCGGAUUAGAU
rnacentral:rRNA from 1 species